GCAUAUCAAUAAGCGGAGGAAAAGAAACUAACAAGGAUUCCCCUAGUAACGGCGAGUGAAGAGGGAAGAGCCCAAGAUUGAAAGCUGGCGUCUUCGGCGUCCGCAUUGUAAUCUCAAGAAGUGUUUUCCGCUUCGGACCAAGCCUAAGUCUCCUGGAAAGGAGCAUCAUAGAGGGUGAUAAUCCCGUACAUGGCUUGGAGCGCCCGUAGCUUUGUGAUACAUUUUCUAAGAGUCGAGUUGUUUGGGAAUGCAGCUCAAAAUGGGUGGUAAAUGCCAUCUAAGGCUAAAUAUUGGGGAGAGACCGAUAGCGAACAAGUACAGUGAUGGAAAGAUGAAAAGAACUUUGAAAAGAGAGUUAAACAGUACGUGAAAUUGCCAAAAGGGAAGGGUAGGAGGUCAGAGAUGCGGCCUGGGAUUUAUUUCCCAGAUUGCAGGCCAACGUCGGUUUUGGGCACUGGAGAAGGGUAAGAGGAACGUGGCACCCCUCGGGGUGUGUUAUAGCCUCUUACUGGAUACAGCGACCGAGACCGAGGACAGCAGCGUACUCGCAAGAGCGGGCCCUCGGGCACCUUUACGCUUAGGGCGUUGGCAUAGUGGCCCUCUACCACCCGUCUUGAAACACGGACCAAGGAGUCUAACAUGUAUGCGAGUCUUU
rnacentral:rRNA from 1 species